rnacentral:rRNA from 1 species
CACCGGCGGCUCGAGUGGUAACCGUUAUUAUUGGGUCUAAAGGGUCUGUAGCCGGCCGGAUAAGUCUCUUGAGAAAUCUGGCAGCUUAACUGUCAGGCUUUCAGGAGAUACUGUCUGGCUCGAGGCCGGGAGAGGUGAGAGGUACUUCAGGGGUAGGGGUGAAAUCUUGUAAUCCUUGAAGGACCACCAGUGGCGAAGGCGUCUCACCAGAACGGACCUGACGGCAAGGGACGAAAGCUAGGGGCACGAACCGGAUUAGAAACCCUAGUAGUCC